GACGAACGCUGGCGGUGUGCUUCACACAUGCAAGUCGAACGGAGUAGCAAUACUCAGUGGCGGACGGGUGAGUAACACGUGGGAAUCUACCAUUAGGUGGGGAAUAACAGGCCGAAAGGACUGCUAAUGCCGCAUAUGUAGGCAUCUCGACAGAGAUGUUUAUGAAAGGAGUAAUCCGCCUUUUGAUGAGCCCGCGUCCGAUUAGCUAGUUGGUAGGGUAAAAGCCUACCAAGGCGACGAUCGGUAGGUGGUCUGAGAGGAUGAUCACCCACAAUGGGACUGAGACACGGCCCAUACUCCUACGGGAGGCAGCAGUGGGGAAUUUUACGCAAUGGGGGAAACCUUGACGUAGCGACACCGCGUGAGCGAAGAAGCCCUUUGGGGUGUAAAGCUCUGUCAACAGGAACGAAACAAAUGACGGUACCUGUGGAGGAAGCAUCGGCUAACUACGUGCCAGCAGCCGCGGUAAGACGUAGGAUGCAAGCGUUGUCCGGAUUUAUUGGGCGUAAAGAGUUCGUAGGCGGUUUGUUAAGUCUGAUGUUAAAGACCGGGGCUCAACCUCGGAAAUGCAUUGGAUACUGGCAGACUGGAGUGCAGUAGAGGCUAGUGGAAUUCCCAGU
rnacentral:rRNA from 1 species